rnacentral:rRNA from 1 species
UACGGAGGGUGCAAGCGUUGUCCGGAUUUAUUGGUUUAAAGGGUGCGUAGGCGGCCCCUUAAGUCAGUGGUGAAAGCCCGCGGCUCAACCGCGGAACUGCCAUUGAUACUGGGGCUUGAGUACAGACGAGGUAGGCGGAAUUGAAGAUGUAGCGGUGAAAAUGCGUAGAUAUCGAGAGGAACACCUGCGGCGAAGGCGGGUUUGCUGAGCUGACACUGACGCUGAGGCGCGAAAGCCAGGGAGCGAACGGG